rnacentral:rRNA from 1 species
UACGGGGGGUGCGAGCGUUGUCCGGAAUCACUGGGCGUAAAGGGCGCGUAGGUGGUUUGCUAAGGGUGUGGUGAAAGUCCGGAGCUCAACUCCGGAUCUGCCGUGCCGACUGUCAAACUCGAGGGCUGUAGAGGCAGACGGAAUUCCGGGUGUAGCGGUGGAAUGCGUAGAGAUCCGGAGGAAGACCGGUGGCGAAGGCGGUCUGCUGGGCAGUUUCUGACACUGAGGCGCGACAGCGUGGGGAGCAAACGGG